GGAUGGAAAGGCGAGGUAAGAGCUCACCCGCGGCCUGGCGACAGGCUGGCGCUGUAAACCCCACCCGAUGCAAGAUCCGACCGGGAGCGAUACGGCGGCCCGUCGUGCUCCCAAAGAGAUCGCUUCAGCCGCGCGGCAACGCGCGGUGGAGAUAGAUGAUCGUCCAACGACAGAACUCGGCUUACGACCGCACCGGCAGC
rnacentral:RNase_P_RNA from 1 species